AAUAGAUACCCUGGUAGUCCACGCCGUAAACGAUGAGUGCUAAGUGUUAGAGGGUUUCCGCCCUUUAGUGCUGCAGCUAACGCAUUAAGCACUCCGCCUGGGGAGUACGGUCGCAAGACUGAAACUCAAAGGAAUUGACGGGGGCCCGCACAAGCGGUGGAGCAUGUGGUUUAAUUCGAAGCAACGCGAAGAACCUUACCAGGUCUUGACAUCCUCUGACAACUCUAGAGAUAGAGCGUUCCCCUUCGGGGGACAGAGUGACAGGUGGUGCAUGGUUGUCGUCAGCUCGUGUCGUAAGAUGUUGGGUUAAGUCCCGCAACGAGCGCAACCCUUGAUCUUAGUUGCCAGCAUUUAGUUGGGCACUCUAAGGUGACUGCCGGUGACAAACCGGAGGAAGGUGGGGAUGACGUCAAAUCAUCAUGCCCCUUAUGACCUGGGCUACACACGUGCUACAAUGGAUGGUACAAAGGGCUGCAAGACCGCGAGGUCAAGCCAAUCCCAUAAAACCAUUCUCAGUUCGGA
rnacentral:rRNA from 1 species